rnacentral:rRNA from 1 species
GGGUUGUGAGGUUAAGCGACUAAGCGUACACGGUGGAUGCCCUGGCAGUCAGAGGCGAUGAAGGGCGUGCUAAUCUGCGAUAAGCGCCGGUAAGGUGAUAUGAACCGUUAUAACCGGCGAUACCCGAAUGGGGAAACCCAGUGUGAUUCGUCACACUAUCAUUAACUGAAUCCAUAGGUUAAUGAGGCGAACCGGGGGAACUGAAACAUCUAAGUACCCCGAGGAAAAGAAAUCAACCGAGAUUCCCCCAGUAGCGGCGAGCGAACGGGGAGGAGCCCAGAGCCUGAAUCAGCAUGUGUGUUAGUGGAAGCGUCUGGAAAGGCGCGCGAUACAGGGUGACAGCCCCGUACACAAAAGCGCAUGUGCUGUGAGCUCGAUGAGUAGGGCGGGACACGUGGUAUCCUGUCUGAAUAUGGGGGGACCAUCCUCCAAGGCUAAAUACUCCUGACUGACCGAUAGUGAACCAGUACCGUGAGGGAAAGGCGAAAAGAACCCCGGCGAGGGGAGUGAAAAAGAACCUGAAACCGUGUACGUACAAGCAGUGGGAGCCCCACCACCAAAGCAUUUGCUGUACCGCGUUGACGGAGCGAAGCGACGUCAAACCGAUAAAACAGCAGUGUAAAGU